UGCUGAAGCCAGAAGCUGACCCCUGUUAAAUCCACUUCAUCGUCUACUCCAUCUCCGUUUCGACUCUAAUUCAACUUCCAAAACAGCGAAAUCGAAACCCUAGAACGCGCACAAGGAUAUUCGAAAAUGGCUGCCGACGAUAUUCCACUGGACGACAAAGCGAAGAGAAUGAGAGAUCUGCUAUCGAGCUUCUACGCUCCAGAUCCUUCAACGGCCUCGAAUACUUCUUCCAAGUACGUUUCGCUAGACGCCAUCAACACGACUUCCUUCGAUGCCGAUCAGUACAUGAAUCUUCUGGCACAAAAAUCAAAUUUGGAAGGACUUCUUCAAAGACAUGUUGAAAUGGCAGCUGAGAUAAAAAAUCUUGACACUGACUUGCAGAUGUUAGUGUAUGAAAAUUACAACAAGUUUAUCAGUGCCACUGAGACAAUUAAAAGGAUGAAAAAUAACAUCGUAGGCAUGGAAGCAAAUAUGGAACAGCUGCUUAAGAAGAUACUGUCUGUUCAAUCUAGAAGUGAUGGGGUUAAUACCUCUCUUUUUGAGAAAAGAGAACAUAUAGAGAAAUUGCAUCGAACACGAAAUCUUCUUCGGAAAGUUCAGUUCAUAUAUGAUCUACCUACUAGGCUUGGAAAAUGUAUUAAAUCCGAAGCUUAUGCUGAUGCAGUCAGGUUUUAUACUGGAGCCAUGCCGAUUUUUGAGGCAUAUGGGGACUCAUCAUUCCAGGAUUGUAAGAGAGCAUCUGAAGAAGCAAUGUCUAUUAUCAUAAAAAACUUGCAGGAAAAGGUAUGCUUAGACUCUGAAUCUGUGCAAGUAAGAGCUGAGGCUGUGGUGCUUCUUAAGCAGUUGAAUUUUCAGGUGGACAGCUUGAAGGCAAAGCUACUUGAAACUUUGGAAAAAUACCUUAUAACCCUUCAGCUUAACUCUAGAGCAAUAAGCACCACUUCUCUAGAUUCUGAUGAACCUUCCAAACAAGGAAGUUCUUCUGAUGCACUUCCUGGGACUGCACAUGAAGCUUCUACCCGUGAGUUUGUGGAGGCUGUCCGUGCUUAUCGAUUAAUAUUUCCUGAUUCAGAAGAUCAACUAAACAAACUUGCACAAGAUCUGGUUACCAAGCAUUUUGAAUCCACUCAGCAACAAAUAAGGAAGCAGAUUAGUUCAUCUGAUCUACUUGUAAUCCUUCGAGUUAUUUGGACAGAUGUGCUUCUGAUGGAAGAAGUUUUACCUGAUGCUGCUCUCUCUGAUUUUUCUCUGGAGGCUGCCCAUGUUGCUGUUAAACAGUAUGUUGCUAGCACGUUUUCUAAUCUCCUACUCAAUGUCUCAGAUGCCCUUACAAAGGUCCAAACUAAACAAAAGGAAGGGGCCGGAGAAGAAUAUCCUUUGCAGGUUUCACUGGAGGGAAGCAAGAAGGCAGUAAUUCAAGGCAGCAUGGCCAUCUUACUGGACUUCCGUCAGCUUCUUGAUGACAACCUAGGACUGCUGGUGAAACUGAGAGACUUCAUUAUUGAUUGGGUUCAAGAAGGAUUUCAAGACUUUUUCGGAAGUCUCAAUGACCAAUUUCUGUCACUUUCCGGAAAAAAUCAUUCAAUUAGUGAACAUCAGGGUUUGACAGAGGGAACACAAGGGGAAAAGUUUCUUGCAGGCCUUGUUCUUGUACUCGCUCAGCUCUCUGUUUUCAUCGAACAAAGUGCUAUCCCAAGAAUUACCGAGGAAAUAGCAGCUUCCUUUUCUGGUGGUGGUGUUCGAGGCUAUGAAAAUGGUCCUGCCUUUGUUCCUGGAGAAAUUUGUCGAAUAUUUCGAUCAGCCGGUGAAAAGUUCCUGCACCUUUAUAUAAAUAUGAGGACUCAAAAAAUAUCAGUUCUUUUGAGGAAGAGGUUCACAACCCCAAACUGGGUGAAGCACAAGGAGCCCAGAGAAGUCCAUAUGUUUGUCGAUUUGUUUCUUCAAGAGUUGGAAGCAAUAAGAACUGAAGUAAAGCAGAUUUUACCACAAGGACUCCACCGAAAACAUCACCGGACUGAUAGCAAUGGGAGCACAACCUCAUCACGUAGUAAUCCAUUAAGAGAUGAUAAAAUAACCAGGUCAAAUACCCAAAGGGCCCGGAGCCAGCUUCUGGAAAGCCAUCUAGCUAAGUUGUUUAAGCAAAAAAUGGAGAUUUUUACAAAAGUUGAAUACACACAGGAGUCAGUUGUAACAACUGUCGUAAAGCUUUGUCUCAAGAGUUUGCAUGAAUUUGUCAGACUUCAAACUUUUAACCGGAGUGGAUUGCAGCAAAUUCAGUUGGAUAUUCAGUUCCUGAGAGUUCCUUUGAAGGAAAUCGUUGAAGACGAAGCUGCCAUUGACUUCCUGCUGGAUGAGGUGAUUGUUUCUGCUGCUGAGCGAUGUCUGGACCCUAUUCCCCUGGAGCCCCCUAUCUUGGACAAACUUAUACAAGCAAAGUUGGCAAAAACAAAGGAACAGACUGCAGUUUCUUCAUAAAACGUGGAAGGGUGCAUUUGGUAUAUGGGAAUGGGAAUGGAGAUAGGAUGGGAAUCGAGGUGAAUCACAAUAUCAUUUAGAAGAGAGAAAUCAAAAUCCUAAUUCAGAUGAACUAUUUGAAGCUUUGUGUGGGUCACAUAUGGUUACAGAUCACCUGAGGAUGUUUCUACAAACCUCUAAUUCCUCCUACAAUUGAUUAAUCAUACAGCUGGGAAAUUUGAGAUACAUCUGUUGGCUCUCUCUCAGGGUCAAGUCCUCAAACUUGUGUUCAGAAAGCUGUAACUUUGCUGAAACAUUAUUUUCUUCAGUUAUUUGAGUGUCUUAUUACAGGCAUCAGCUCCGCCGGCCUGGUACUGAUUGUGUCCUGCUGGCCUAUACUGAUUAGUGCAUUAUCAUAUACUGAUUGUAUCUCCAUGCAUGGGCCAGGACAAUGCCAGCGCCUCCUAGGCUCCAAGCUGAUGAACUUAUCUGUAUUUGGAAUUGCAUGUCCGAUGAUAAUGAUACACAUCACAUAGCUUUUCUAUUAUUGUUAUUUCAAUGUACUAACAGUGGUUUUUUCGUUGUACUAUGGUCAAUGGCAUAGAGAUUGGCUUCGGAUCU